rnacentral:rRNA from 1 species
AUGCGGACGGUGCAAGCGUUACUCGGAAUCACUGGGCGUAAAGCGCGCGCAGGCGGCUAUUUAAGUUGGAUGUGAAAGCCUACGGCUCAACCGUAGAAUUGCAUCCAAAACUAUUUAGCUAGAGUGUGGGAGAGGAAGAUGGAAUUAGUUGUGUAGGGGUAAAAUCCGUAGAGAUAACUAGGAAUACCAAAAGCGAAGGCAAUCUUCUGGAACACUACUGACGCUGAGGCGCGAAAGCGUGGGGAGCAAACGGGAUUAGAAACCCCAGUAGUCC